AUUGAACGCUGGCGGCAGGCCUAACACAUGCCAGUCGAACGGUAACAGGAAGAAGCUUGCUUCUUUGCUGACGAGUGGCGGACGGGUGAGUAAUGUCUGGGAAACUGCCUGAUGGAGGGGGAUAACUACUGGAAACGGUAGCUAAUACCGCAUAACGUCGCAAGACCAAAGAGGGGGACCUUCGGGCCUCUUGCCAUCGGAUGUGCCCAGAUGGGAUUAGCUAGUAGGUGGGGUAACGGCUCACCUAGGCGACGAUCCCUAGCUGGUCUGAGAGGAUGACCAGCCACACUGGAUCUGAGACACGGUCCAGACUCCUACGGGAGGCAGCAGUGGGGAAUAUUGCACAAUGGGCGCAAGCCUGAUGCAGCCAUGCCGCGUGUAUGAAGAAGGCCUUCGGGUUGUAAAGUACUUUCAGCGGGGAGGAAGGGAGUAAAGUUAAUACCUUUGCUCAUUGACGUUACCCGCAGAAGAAGCACCGGCUAACUCCGUG
rnacentral:rRNA from 1 species